UUCCUAGAGCUGGGGAUUUCUGUAGGCACUUUCAAAAGCUUGGGUUUAGCCCAACUCAGGCUGUCCAGUCAUGGUUUUAUUACUAAUUUAAACCUAUGGCCUCUAUACUGGAAACUAAAUCUGU
rnacentral:lncRNA from 1 species